rnacentral:rRNA from 1 species
GAUGAACGCUGGCGGCGUGCCUAACACAUGCAAGUCGAGCGAUCUUCUUCGGGAGAGAGCGGCGGACGGGUGAGUAACGCGUGGGUAACCUGCCCUGUACACACGGAUAACAUACCGAAAGGUAUGCUAAUACGAGAUAAUAUGCUUUUGUCGCAUGGUAGAAGUAUCAAAGCUCCGGCGGUACAGGAUGGACCCGCGUCUGAUUAGCUAGUUGGUAAGGUAACGGCUUACCAAGGCGACGAUCAGUAGCCGACCUGAGAGGGUGAUCGGCCACAUUGGAACUGAGACUCGGUCCAAACUCCUACGGGAGGCAGCAGUGGGGAAUAUUGCACAAUGGGCGAAAGCCUGAUGCAGCAACGCCGCGUGAGCGAUGAAGGCCUUCGGGUCGUAAAGCUCUGUCCUCAAGGAAGAUAAUGACGGUACUUGAGGAGGAAGCCCCGGCUAACUACGUGCCAGCCGCCGCAGUAA